CGACGCAUCAUUUCUUCCUCCUCUUUUCCCAUUCGCUUCCCCCCGCUCUUCUCUGGCGAGUGACGAGCCCCCAAGGUGAGAUGGCUCGUAAGAGGCGUCACGAAGUAUGUGAUUUUACCGACAGUGACUCUGAAUAAGAUGUUGAGACUCAUUCUAUUGAGGAAUAUUCAAUUCCAAAUGUUUAUCAUAUCAUCUUGAUUCGUUCUCUUGAUCCUGGUUCAUCAUAUCAUCUUCACUUGGCAAGCUAUGCAUGGUGAUCUUCAUUCCAAAUGUUUGUCAUGGUGAGUUCUAAUAAUAAAAUUUAUUUCCAGUAUAUUUUUUCUAUAGUAUCAAAUUUUCUUACCUCAGCUCCUUUAUGUUCCUCAUUCACUGGAAUCUGUUCAUAUUCUUCUGGCAUUGCAUGAUGGAGUUUGAUUUCAUGCAAUUUAGAAGAAUAAAAAUAACUAUGGAAAGAUGUUCCGAUCACUCGUGACAACAUGACCUAUCUAGGUAUAAAAGACGGUGGUCCUCAAGACUGCCUGGUUCUAGCUUGGUCUGCUACCGAUGAAAACAACAUGUUCAUGACCACAGUUCAUGCUUUGGAGAAGUUGGUUGGUUCUGUAGAGGUUGCGUUGUUCAGGAUUGCAUUAGACCCAGGGCGCAAGUUUGGUUUCAUUCUUUGUCCUGAUGAUGAGAUGGCAAAGUCACUUCAUGCACACUACGUUACAAUUGGUAUGGAGAAGAUCUUUGAUGUGGUCAGGAGUGUGAAGUAUUUGCCCUUUUUAUGAUGAUGUCAAUCAGCACCCAAGGGCACUAAAGUGGAUCUGAAUCAAGUCUUCUCAACAUCAAACUAGGCAGAAUUCAGAUAUGUCUUGUCUCUGAAUUAUCCAAAUAUCUGUAUGUAGUAUUCAGAUGUCUCUUAUCUGAAUCUUAUAUAUGAACAACUUUUAAGUAUGGUAAAUUUGGAAGCAUCUAGCUAUCUUUUGUAUGUGUAAUAUGCAAUUAGCAAGAUAUAUGCUUCAUCCAUGUGUCUGAUGGCAGAUUAUAUAUGAACAACUAUAAGUAUUGUAAUAUUACUGGUGUAGCUAAUUUGGAUGAUGUCUUGAGGCUUUUGUUCUACAUAUAUUUUCGUUUUGCUGGAAGA